rnacentral:rRNA from 1 species
AUUGAACGCUGGCGGCAUGCCUAACACAUGCAAGUCGAGCGGAUCGCCGGACGGGUGAGUAAGGCCUAGGAAUCUGCAUGGUAGUGGGGGAUAACGUUCGGAAACGGACGCUAAUACCACAUACUAUCAGAUGAGCCUAGGUCGGAUUAGCUAGUUGGUGGGGUAAAGGCAUACCAAGGCGACGCUCCGUAACUGGUCUGAGAGGAUGAUCAGCCACACUGGAACUGAGACACGGUCCAGACUCCUACGGGAGGCAGCAGUGGGGAAUAUUGGACAAUGGGCGAAAGCCUGAUCCAGCCAUGCCGCGUGUGUGAAGAAGGUCUUCGGGUUGUAAAGCACGUUAAGUUGGGAGGCGUUACCAACAGAAUAAGCACCGGCUAACUUCGUGCCAGCAGCCGCGGUAAUAC